rnacentral:rRNA from 1 species
UACAGAGGUCUCGAGCGUUAGGCGGAAUCACUGGGCUUAAAGCGUGUGUAGGCGGAUCGGUAAGUACCUUGUGAAAUCCCACAGCUUAACUGUGGAACUGCUUGGUAUACUGCCAGUCUUGAGCCAGCUAGGGGCGACCGGAACAAAUGGUGGAGCGGUGAAAUGCGUAGAUAUCAUUUGGAACGCCAAUGGUGAAAACAGGUCGCUGGGGCUGUGCUGACGCUGAGACACGAAAGCCAGGGGAGCGAACGGG